UUUUGCUCCCUCUCCCUUCUUCUUUAAAGCGUAAGCAUCUUCGGUAUAUGGAUAUAACUUCAAUCGGCUCUUUAUUUCAAAGCAUGAGAGUGUGUCAAGCUGGUUUAAAUUGUUACAUCAGCUGUGAAUUUUACACAGUGCCCAGACUGAGAAAAACCGGAGCGGGAGCGUGUGCUAUCAUCACUGGAAGGACAGACAAGUAAAAGUAAUUGCUUCAGGAUGUCUUAUAAGGCAAAUCCGUUGUAUGACAUGUAUUUUUAUACCUUCUAAACGCAAGGGCACCUGUUUAACAAUCUGGCAAGGCAGGAUCCUGGAAGCCUUGGGAACCUGGACAGCUGGAACUGAGACACCAGAGGCUGUCAUUUGUACUCUCUUAAAGAAAAUCAUCUGCGAGGGAAUUUCUGCACAGGCCCGGUAGCAACCGAGUAAUAUCUCAUCAACAGCGUUUCAAAGUAGGCCAUGUCUUAACAGCAGAAGGAUUGCAUGGUGUGUGACUCUUUGGGAAAAAUGGGAUUCUCUAUAAAAGGAUGUUUUCAAGACUUACUGGGUACAUUAAAACAGUCAGAUCACCCGAAGUUGUCAAUGCAUGUUUAAAGGAAGCCACUGAACCUUUUUGAUGUGAUCGUGUAUUUGCUAGUUCCCAAAGUGCAUUAUAUCACGUAACAAAAAACUUCAAGUGGAACAAGAAGUCAAAGCAGAGCAAGUAUUGCCUGCUCUGAUAAAGUAUCCUUGUCCUCCCGCUGUUGAAAAUUAUUUUCAGUGUAAGUCUUGCCUAACCAGUUCCAGAUCUUCCUAGCAACUAGAGAGACUAAUGGGUCCGACUGCAGACAUGCCGGGCUUGGGGGCAGUGUAUGCUCAGGUGAUACUAAAGCAGGGAUGGAAGCUGUUGAGAACACUCUGUAUGAGUGACUGCACAAGCUGAGGGGAGCGAAGAAGAAUAUGAGGAGAGCUAGAGGGCCUGUCCGAGCCCAAAACACUCACAAGGAUGUGUGCUUCACGUAAGUGUCCGUAUCGCGUUGUCUUCUCAUAAGGACCAGACAGAACAAUAUAAAUCAAAAGUAUUUGCUUUAUGUUAACAUACAAGUUUUGCAUGUUUAUCUCCACCCAGCAGUUACACAUUUUUGUCUUAAUUGCACGCUAGCUAUCGUAAGUUGAUGGCUGUGGAACAGUGAUUUUCUUAAUCUUGUCCAAUACCUGCUCUCAAGCUCCAGCAUUGUUUUGCAGUACAACAUGAAUAUAAACAUUUCUUUAGAAAUCUGAAAUGAAAAGUUUAAACUUUUUAAUGUUUUUGUCAAUAAUUUGUGUCAAGACAGAUUUAAUGCUCUGGCUUUUUACCUGUAUGUCUUGAUCUUAUUUUUUUGAAUAAAACUCACUUUAAACAGUGGAUAUCUUUUAUGUAGAUAUCCUUAAAUCCGCAAAGCUAGAUACUUACCCAUUCUACCUCCACUCAUAAACAACAGCUCUGAUAAUCCUCUAUACAGACAAUAAGCAUUCACAUGUGAGCCUUUAAAGUAAGUCUGUGCUGCAGACUUACUACAAUGAAGAAAAUGAUCAUUUAAUAUCAAAAAUAGAAAUUGUGCCAUCUCGGCUAGUUGUAAUAGAAACACUGUUUGCCUCAGUAGUUUUAAUAAGAGAUGGUUAAAGCAUUUCUGAUUAACAGCAAGUUCACUGAAAAAUAGUGCUUUGUCAAAGCACAAAGUAUUUUGAUGAGAUUUACAGCUUUUAGCAUACUUU